AUUGAACGCUGGCGGCAGGCCUAACACAUGCAAGUCGAACGAGUGGCGGACGGGUGAGUAAUGUCUGUGAAACUGCCUGAUGGAUGGGGAUAACUACUGGAAACGGUAGCUAAUACCGCCUACCAUCCAAUGUGACCAGAGGGGAUUAGCUAGUUGGUGGGGUAACGGCUAACCAAGUCGACGAUCCCUAGCUGGUCUGAGAGGAUGACCAGCCACACUGGAACUGAGACACGGUCCAGACUCCUACGGGAGGCAGCAGUGGGGAAUAUUGCACAAUGGGCGCAAGCCUGAUGCAGCCAUGCCGCGUGUAUGAAGAAGGCCUUCGGGUUGUAAAGUACUUUCAGUGGGGAGGCGUUACCCGCUGAAGAAGCACCGGCUAACUCCGUGCCAGCCGCCGCGGUAAUAC
rnacentral:rRNA from 1 species